AACGAACGCUGGCGGCGUGCCUAAUACAUGCAAGUCGAACGGACCGGAGCAAUCCGGUUAGUGGCGAACGGGUGAGUAACGCGUUGGUGACCUGCCCCGAAGAGAGGGAUAACAGUUCGAAAGGGCUGCUAAUACCUCAUGAGCUUAGGGAGUUUAGAAAUCUCUAAGUAACAGCCGAAAGGCGCUUUGGGAGGGGCCUGCGUCCCAUCAGCUAGUUGGUAAGGUAACGGCUUACCAAGGCGAUGACGGGUAGGGGGCCUGAGAGGGUGGCCCCCCACAAUGGAACUGAAACACGGUCCAUACACCUACGGGUGGCAGCAGUAGGGGAUAUUGGUAAUCUGCGAAAGCGGGAACCAGCAACGCCGCGUGUGCGAUGAAGGCCUUCGGGUUGUAAAGCACUUUUCAUGGGGACGAGGAAGGACGGUACCCGUGGAAUAAGCCUCGGCUAACUACGUGCCAGCAGCCGCGGUAAAACGUAGGAGGCGAGCGUUAUCCGGAUU
rnacentral:rRNA from 1 species